rnacentral:rRNA from 1 species
GCGCUCUCGAACCUAGAGAUAGGGCUUUCCCCUUCGGGGGACAGAGUGACAGGUGGUGCAUGGUUGUCGUCAGCUCGUGUCGUGAGAUGUUGGGUUAAGUCCCGCAACGAGCGCAACCCUUGAUCUUAGUUGCCAGCAUUCAGUUGGGCACUCUAAGAUGACUGCCGGUGACAAACCGGAGGAAGGUGGGGAUGACGUCAAAUCAUCAUGCCCCUUAUGACCUGGGCUACACACGUGCUACAAUGGACGGUACAAAGGGCAGCAAGACCGCGAGGUUUAGCCAAUCCCAUAAAACCGUUCUCAGUUCGGAUUGUAGGCUGCAACUCGCCUACAUGAAGCUGGAAUCGCUAGUAAUCGCGGAUCAGCAUGCCGCGGUGAAUACGUUCCCGGGUCUUGUACACACCGA